AUGCUGAGCGGGACACCGACGACACCCAGGACCCGGCCCGGCAGCGCGGAAGGAGCCGUCCCGCCUCCCGCUCCGCGCAGCACUCACCCCCAGCACCGGACGCACCACUCCCGAAGCCACAGCCACAGUAGGAGCGCCCGCGCCGUCGAGGCUAGCGCCGGUCCCGGCGGGACGCCCCGCCCCCAGGCUCGGCUCACCGCCCAUUGGCUGCUGGAGGCGGUGAUUUGCAUAGCUGCGCCCCGCCCCCGCCCGUCGGGGGCUGGAUCUGUACGGGAAGCGUGGGGGUGCGCGGGGUGGUCCUGCCUGGCAGCCGGCACCGUGGGUAUCGCCGGCCCCUUCCCGCCCGCUUCGGACGUGGGCGCGGAAAUACCGUGCCGGACCGGCAAAUGGGGACGCACAUCAAACCUCUGCUGCCGGUCAGUGUGUGAGAGGAGGCGAGCUCCGCAUAGUGCUGCAUGGCAACCGACAGCUCCCGUGCAAUGGGAACUGAGUUGCUGCAGGUACAGCUCUGACACCCAGCGGCCACUUCACUCACGACCUGCUCCUGGAUUCCAGAGCAUUUCAAACUUGGCUUCAAUUGAUACGGCUUUUGUCGCCAAAAGGAUCAUUUCAGCUUUAAAACCAAUGCCCUUCUGUGAUUUCCAUAGGAAAGUAAAGCCGUCUUGCACCCUCUCUUUCUGAAACAGGCUAGUCUCCAAGAAUGUACCUCACUUCUUAUUCUUUGUUACACCGGUAAGUUUCCUUCCUCAUAGUCUUUGGCCCAGAUUUGUAAGAUACAUAAAUCACAGACAGCUUUUUCAAAGAUCCAAAAGUGGGAUACCUCUGCCUUUUUCUGCAGGUGUUGUGUUUUACUUCUUUUUUCUUCUUCUUUUUUUUUUGCCUUGGUCUCUCUGGAAGCAACUACAGAAUGAAAUUGCUGUAUCCAGCUGUGUAAAACUGCUUCCUGCUAAGCAAGGUUUGAUAAUGAGUCUACAGAUCCUCAUAAAAACAAAGCAAAACAAAAAUUACAGUCUUCAUUUAGUUCAUUGCAGUAAAAGGUAUAGACAGUUUAGGAUAUUGCUUUAUUGCUUUCACACUGCUUUCCACAGCCCUGGCUUUAUAAGAUGCUCAUUUGUAAAGAAGAGGCCUUGAAUCAUCUGUAUUAGAUUUCUG
rnacentral:lncRNA from 1 species